rnacentral:ncRNA from 2 species
UUAAAAGACAUCGAUAUACGGAUUUCUCCUGAAAAAACGCGAAAAAUCCUAGAAUUUUAGAACAGGAGAGUAUAUUCUGGUAGUGGAAGUACGAA